AUGACCAUCGACCAAGAGUAUAUAUGGAUAGUACAGAGAUGGUCAUACAAAAACAAGCUUGGCCUCGCUCGCGCGUGGGCCAGCCCAUCUGGGCUCAUCGAGACCUUCACUAGCUCCACCAGCCAGCCCCCAGUAGGCUACACAAACUUUGCGAGCCCACCCGCUCUAAAGCAGCCUCGCAAGAGGCCCAGACAAGCCUUGCCACCCUCGCCGUCUCCCGCGACCACGCCACCGCCGCUGCCGCGCCGUGGCACACCGGCAUGGAUCCCAGGCCGCCCGCAUUCGACCGUCGCCGCCCCCGUUUCACACAAUCGCCCGACUUACCGGCAUUCCAGCUGUGAAGCAGUGACGCUGCGUCAACCCGGCGACCCCCUCGCCGAGUCGCCGUCAGCGAGGCUGUUGCGUCGAUCCGCCCGCGAUCCUGCGUCCGUUGAGGCGUCAUGGCUCGCUUUUCCGUGGAGGUGGACGCGCUUGUCGCGCGCGCGAGGAGAAAAUAUCUCCGGCGGGCGGAAAUAUCUGGCGCCACUGCUGGCGUCGUUUUCCCAUCAUUUUGGGCACCCGCCACGUCCGGUUGCGGCUUGUCGCUCUCCGCGGCGAGCUGUGGCCACCCGUGCCCCGUCCUCUCCUCACCUCUUCGGCCGCCCCGGAUCCGCUAUAAGAAAUCUCACUCUCCGCACCACUGGCCAGGUGCGCACUCCCAUCCCAUCGCAUCCGCUCCCCCCCUCUCUCCCUGUUAGCAACUCCUCCGCCCGCCUCUCGCCGGAUCCGCCGUUUCUCAGGUGA
rnacentral:rRNA from 1 species